rnacentral:rRNA from 1 species
ACCAAGGCGACGACGGGUAGCCGGCCUGAGAGGGUGACCGGCCACACUGGGACUGAGAUACGGCCCAGACUCCUACGGGAGGCAGCAGUGGGGAAUAUUGCACAAUGGGCGCAAGCCUGAUGCAGCGACGCCGCGUGAGGGAUGAAGGCCUUAGGGUUGUAAACCUCUUUUAGCAGGGAAGAAGCGAAAGUGACGGUACCUGCAGAAAAAGCACCGGCUAACUACGUGCCAGCAGCCGCGGUAAUACGUAGGGUGCAAGCGUUGUCCGGAAUUAUUGGGCGUAAAGAGCUCGUAGGCGGUUUGUCGCGUCUGCUGUGAAAAUCCGAGGCUCAACCUCGGACCUGCAGUGGGUACGGGCAGACUAGAGUGCGGUAGGGGAGAUGGGAAUUCCUGGUGUAGCGGUGGAAUGCGCAGAUAUCAGGAGGAACACCAAUGGCGAAGGCACACCUCUGGGCCGUAACUGACGCUGAGGAGCGAAAGCGUGGGGAGCGAACAGGAUUAGAUACCCUGGUAGUCCACGCCGU